UAAUACGAAAGGUGCAAGCGUUACUCGGAAUCACUGGGCGUAAAGCGCGCGUAGGCGGUCCUGUAUGUCGAUUGUGAAAGCCCCGGGCUCAACCUGGGAACAGCAGCCGAAACUGCAGGACUUGAAUGUUGGAGAGGGUGGGGGAAUACCUAGUGGAGAAGUGAAAUUCGUAGAGAUUAGGUGGAACACCAGAGGCGAAGGCGCCUGCCUGGCCAAACAUUGACGCUGAGGCGCGAAAGCGUGGGGAGCAAACAGGAUUAGAUACCCUGGUAGUCCACGCCGUAAACGAUGGAUACUCGGCGUUCGGAGAGUUAACCCUCUGAGUGCCAAAGUUCACACAUUAAGUAUCCCGCCUGGGAAGUACGGUCGCAAGACUA
rnacentral:rRNA from 1 species